rnacentral:misc_RNA from 1 species
AGCAGCCGCGGUAAUUCCAGCUCCAAUAGCGUAUAUUAAAGUUGUUGCAGUUAAAAAGCUCGUAGUUGAAUUUCGGGAUCAAUAUGUUGGUCGUGCCUCGGUACGUACUAGCUUAUUGGUUUCUCCUUUCUGAAGAACCAUGAUGUCAUUUAUUUGGUGUCGUGGGGAAUCAGGACUGUUACUUUGAAAAAAUUAGAGUGUUUAAAGCAGGCUCACGCUUGAAUACAUUAGCAUGGAAUAAUGAAAUAGGACGUUUGAUUCUAUUUUGUUGGUUUUUAGGAUCGACGUAAUGAUUAAUAGGGAUAGUUGGGGGCAUUAGUAUUCAAUUGUCAGAGGUGAAAUUCUUGGAUUUAUUGAAGACUAACUACUGCGAAAGCAUUUGCCAAGGAUGUUUUCAUUAAUCAAGAACGAAAGUUAGGGGAUCGAAGACGAUCAGAUACCGUCGCAGUCUUAACCAUAAACUAUGCCGACUAGGGAUCGGAUGAUGUUAAUUUUUUAAUGACUCAUUC